rnacentral:rRNA from 1 species
CAGUAGCCGCGGGAAUACGAAGGGUGCAAGCGUUACUCGGAAUUACUGGGCGUAAAGCGUGCGUAGGUGGUGGUUUAAGUCCGUUGUGAAAGCCCUGGGCUCAACCUGGGAAUUGCAGUGGAUACUGGGUCACUAGAGUGUGGUAGAGGAUAGUGGAAUUUCCGGUGUAGCAGUGAAAUGCGUAGAGAUCGGAAGGAACAUCUGUGGCGAAGGCGACUAUCUGGGCCAACACUGACACUGGGGCACGAAAGCGUGGGGAGCAAACAGGAUUAGAUACCCCAGUAGUCCCUGUCUCUUAUAC